CAUGGGGCGUGAGCGCUGCUGAGCUGCGGAGCCGCGGAGCGCCGCCACUUCCCCUGUCCUCCCGCCGCGAGCCGCGCACAGCUCCGCACUCGCUCGCUCGUCUCGCGACGGCGGCGCGGCCCAUGCGGCCGGGGGCGGAGGUCGGGAGCCGGCAGCGGGCUUGGCGUCUCAGCUGCCGGGGCUCGGGCGGCGAGGGGCCGCCGGCUCGCCGCGCCUGAGGGCCCGGGGCGGGGAACGCAGGCGGCCUCGGCCGCGGAGCCGGGAAGAUGCUGCUGUCCCUGGUGCUCCACACGUACUCUAUGCGCUACCUGCUGCCGGGCAUGGUGCUCCUGGGCACGGCGCCCACCUACGUGCUGGCCUGGGGGGUCUGGCGGCUGCUGUCCGCCUUCCUGCCCGCGCGUUUCUACCAGGCGGUGGACGACCGGCUCUACCGCAUCUACCAGAACAUGGUGCUCUUCUUCUUCGAGAACUACACCGGGGUCCAGAUAUUCCUAUAUGGAGAUUUGCCAAAAAAUAAAGAAAAUGUAAUAUAUUUAGCAAAUCAUCAAAGCACAGUUGACUGGAUUAUUGCCGACAUGUUGGCCUCUAGGCAGGAUGCUCUUGGACAUGUGCGCUAUGUGCUGAAAGAUGGGUUAAAGUGGCUUCCUUUGUAUGGUUGUUAUUUUUCUCAGCAUGGAGGAAUCUAUGUAAAGCGAAGUGCCAAAUUUAAUGAAAGAGAAAUGAGAAACAAACUACAGAGCUACGUGGAUGCAGGAACUCCCAUGUAUCUUGUGAUUUUCCCAGAAGGUACGAGGUAUAAUCCAGAACAAACAAAAAUCCUUUCAACUAGUCAGGCAUUUGCAGCUGAACAAGGCCUUGCAGUAUUAAAAUAUGUGCUGACACCACGAAUAAAGGCAACUUAUGUUGCUUUUGAUGCUAUGAAGAAUUACUUAGAUGCAGUUUAUGAUGUUACAGUGGUUUAUGAAGGGAAAGGUGAUAGAGGGCAGCGAAAAGAGCCCCCCUCCAUGACUGAAUUUCUCUGCAAAGAAUGUCCAAAAGUUCAUAUUCACGUUGAUCGUAUAGACAAAAAGGAUGUCCCAGAACAGCAAGAAUGUAUGAGAAGAUGGCUUCAUGAGCGUUUUGAAAUAAAAGAUAAGAUGCUUAUAGAAUUCUAUGAUUCACCAGAUCCAGAAAGAAGAAACAAGUUUCCUGGGGAAAGUGUUAAUUCCAAAUUAAGUAUCAAGAAGACUUUACCAUCAGUAUUGAUCUUAAGUGGUUUGACUGCGGGCAUGCUUAUGACUGAGACUGGCAGGAAACUGUACGUGAACACGUGGAUGUACGGCACCUUGCUGGGCUGCCUGUGGGUCACUGUCAAGGCGUAGGCAGGGAGCUGUCUCCAAGGAGGGCUGUGCUGCACUGUCUGUCUUUGGCACCUACACAUUAUAUCAAAUUGUUUCCUGGAAGUGUAAAUAAAGCCUUGUUGAUUGAACAUUGGAUAAAAAUAGAAUUUGUGACUAUAGCCACUAUGCAGUUGGUCUUGGGCAUGGUUUUGUAACUUUAGCUCUGGAGCUCCCGGAAAGGAUAAAAAGCUAAACAGAAUUUCUGCUGUUCUUCACAUUUCCCAUGAACUAAUGACAACUUCAGAAGCCUAGUAGGAUUGUAUAAUUUGUUACUGUUUUGUAACUCAGAUGGCUGUAUUUUUUAACAUUAAUUUGCAACAUAUUUCACUAUAUUUGUUAUUUUUAAUUUGUUAUAACUUGGCAGCUCUAAACUUUUAUCACUGAGGUAUUUAGUAUCUUACAGCUAGGCAAUAUUUCACUUUUUGCUUAAUUUCUGCAAGUCAAUGAAAGAAGAUGUAUUUAAGUAUUGAAAUGUUUAAAGAAAAAGGCAAAAAAUGUUCAUGAGAGAAAGCUCUGUUUAGUGCAUGUUUUUAUUGUAUUAGCUGGUUUUACUCAUUUUAUAUUUCCAAAAUAACAUUUCUAAUAUUUAUUGAAAUUGCUUAAUUUGCUCACCCUGUACUCUACACAAGAAUAAUGUAUAAAAUAUGAGAAGUUCAAGUUAAAAUCUUGCCUGAUUCAUUGUAGCAGAACUUUAAAUUGCCUAGCCUUUUAAAUAUUUAAGCUACUCUAAGUACUUCCCAACAUCAGUGCCAUAAGUGCUUGAAAACAUUAAGGUUUUCUUUUUAUGUUACAUCAAAUCAGUGUGAAUCUUUGUUGGACCCCCUGAGUUCACAGGUAUUCGAGGUGAUGGGAGCCGACUAGAUUUACUAGCAUGUGCCUUUCACCCACUUUUCUUUGAUUUAGCAAAAUAUUUCUUUCAGAAGUCACUUGUAUGUCACCAAGGUGGAGU